rnacentral:rRNA from 1 species
UGGGGAAUAUUGGACAAUGGGCGAAAGCCUGAUCCAGCCAUGCCGCGUGUGUGAAGAAGGUCUUCGGAUUGUAAAGCACUUUAAGUUGGGAGGAAGGGCAGUAAGCGAAUACCUUGCUGUUUUGACGUUACCGACAGAAUAAGCACCGGCUAACUCUGUGCCAGCAGCCGCGGUAAUACAGAGGGUGCAAGCGUUAAUCGGAAUUACUGGGCGUAAAGCGCGCGUAGGUGGUUCGUUAAGUUGAAUGUGAAAGCCCCGGGCUCAACCUGGGAAAUGCAUCCAAAACUGGCGAGCUAGAGUAGGGCAGAGGGUGGUGGAAUUUCCUGUGUAGCGGUGAAAUGCGUAGGUAUAGGAAGGAACACCAGUGGCGAAGGCGACCACCUGGGCUCAUACUGACACUGAGGUGCGAAAGCGUGGGGAGCAAACAGG